UACGAAGGGGGCUAGCGUUGCUCGGAAUUACUGGGCGUAAAGCGCACGUAGGCGGCUUCUUAAGUCGGUGGUGAAAUCCUGGAGCUCAACUCCAGAACUGCCUUCGAUACUGGGAGCUCGGAGUCCGGGAGAGGUGAGUGGAACUGCGAGUGUAGAGGUGAAAUUCGUAGAUAUUCGCAAGAACACCAGUGGCGAAGGCGGCUCACUGGCCCGGUACUGACGCUGAGGUGCGAAAGCGUGGGGAGCAAACAGGG
rnacentral:rRNA from 1 species